rnacentral:rRNA from 1 species
AGUAAAAGUCGUAACAAGGUCUCCGUAGGUGAACCUGCGGAGGGAUCAUUACACAAAAAAAUAUGAAGGCUGUACGCAGCUGAAUUAUUUUUCACCCAUGUCUUUUGCGCACUUGUUGUUUCCUGGGCGGGUUCGCCCGCCACCAGGACCACACCAUAAACCUUUUUUAUGCAGUUGCAAUCAGCGUCAGUAAAACAAGUAAUUAAUUUACAACUUUCAACAACGGAUCUCUUGGUUCUGGCAUCGAUGAAGAACGCAGCGAAAUGCGAUACGUAGUGUGAAUUGCAGAAUUCAGUGAAUCAUCGAAUCUUUGAACGCACAUUGCGCCCUUUGGUAUUCCAAAGGGCAUGCCUGUUCGAGCGUCAUUUGUACCCUCAAGCUCUGCUUGGUGUUGGGCGUUUUUGUUAUCCUUUUUGGGGGGUAACUCGCCUUAAAACAAUUGGCAGCCGGCCUACUGGUUUCGGAGCGCAGCACAAUUUUGCGCUUGCAACCAGCAAAAGAGGUUGGCGAUCCAUCAAGUCUACUUUUCUCACUUUUGACCUCGGAUCAGGUAGGGAUACCCGCUGAACUUAAGCAUAUCAAUAAGCGGAGGAAAAGAAACCAACAGGGAUUGCCCCCAGUAACG